rnacentral:rRNA from 1 species
GACGAACGCUGGCGGCGUGCUUAACACAUGCAAGUCGAACGGAAAGGCCCUGCUUGCAGGGUACUCGAGUGGCGAACGGGUGAGUAACACGUGGGUGAUCUGCCCUGCACUUCGGGAUAAGCCUGGGAAACUGGGUCUAAUACCGGCUAGGAGCCAUUUUUAGUGGGAUGGUUGGAAAGUUUUUUCGGUUUAGGAUGAGCUCGCGGCCUAUCAGCUUGUUGGUGGGGUAAUGGCCUACCAAGGCGGCUACGGGUAGCCGGCCUGAGAGGGUGGACGGCGACAUUGGGACUGAGGGGCGGCCCAGACUCCGACGGGAGGCAGCAGUGGGGAAUAUUGCACAAUGAGCGCAAGGCUGAUGCAGAGGCGCCGCGGGUGGUAUGACGGCCUUCGGGUUGAAAACUAAUUGCGCAAGGGACGAAGCUUUUUGUGACGGUACCUAGAUAAGAAGCACCGGCUAACUACGUG